rnacentral:rRNA from 1 species
GACGAACGCUGGCGGCGUGCUUAACACAUGCGAGUCGAACGGAAAGGCCCUGCUUUUGUGGGGUGCUCGAGUGGCGAACGGGUGAGUAACACGUGAGUAACCUGCCCUUGACUUUGGGAUAACUUCAGGAAACUGGGGCUAAUACCGGAUAGGAGCUCCUGCUGCAUGGUGGGGGUUGGAAAGUUUCGGCGGUUGGGGAUGGACUCGCGGCUUAUCAGCUUGUUGGUGGGGUAGUGGCUUACCAAGGCUUUGACGGGUAGCCGGCCUGGGAGGGUGACCGGCCACGUUGGGACUGAGGUACGGCCCAGCCUCCUACGGGAGGCAGCGGUGCGGAAUAUUGCACAAUGGGCGGAAGCAUGAUGCAGCAACGCCGCGUGCGGGAUGACGGCCUUCGGGUUGUGAACCGCUUUCGCCUGUGACGAAGCGUGAGUGACGGUAAUGGGUAAAGAAGCACCGGCUAACUACGUG